AUUCUACCCAUGUGGGGAAGGAUGAGAAGCUUCGACUAAGGUUCGAUUCGAGCGAAAGCGAGAAAGCGUUGCCGCAGGCAACGACCCGAAGGGCGAAACGCGCAGCGCUGAGUCAUCCUUCCCCCACCACCA
rnacentral:sRNA from 4 species